UACGGAGGGUGCGAGCGUUAAUCGGAAUUACUGGGCGUAAAGCGUGCGCAGGCGGUUUCGUAAGAGAGAGGUGAAAUCCCCGGGCUCAACCUGGGAACUGCCUUUGUGACUGCGAGGCUAGAGUAUGGCGGAGGGGGGUGGAAUUCCACGUGUAGCAGUGAAAUGCGUAGAGAUGUGGAGGAACCCCGAUGGCGAAGGCAGCCCACUGGGCCAAUACUGACGCUCAUGCACGAAAGCGUGGGGAGCAAACAGG
rnacentral:rRNA from 1 species